ACAGUUGAAAUAACUCCUUCGUGGAGGCUGGCUACAUUUUCACAACGUCUGGUCCCAAGCUAGAUCUUCGGGAAAAGGGAUCAAGGAAAUGACUAUUCCUCCAAAUAAAAUGCUGCACAUCUUUCAUGGAUUCUGGUCCACCUCGUCCUCACGCGGGGAUGCAGACUGACAAGCUUCCACCAUGAAGGGUUGUCAUUUGCCAUAGCAGGGAGAGGAAAAUGGAGCAAAUCAGUCACCAGCUCGUCAUACAGAAGAGUGUCCCACGUCAUAUCUGCUGAUAUGUUAUGGCCAAAGUACAUGACUAUCUCCAAGGAGCUGAGAGGUGAAAUUCGGACAUUUGUCUGGACGGAGUAGAACCAAGAGAGUCGUAAACAUCCUGUGGACUACACACCGUUUAACAAGAUGCAACAGUAUUCUGGGAGUGUCUAUGGAUUUCUACUGCCUGAGAAGAUAAAGCCCCAAGUCUUCACAUUAA
rnacentral:lncRNA from 1 species